UAGGAAAAGGGUAGAGGGGUCUCAGAGGUAGAAUAGGGGCAGAGGGGCCACAGAGUUCUCCCCCUUUCCUACCUCUGAGACCCCUCUACCCUUUUCCUA